CACUUUGGUGACAUAAGUGGCCA
rnacentral:siRNA from 1 species